GCUUACGGCCACGCUACCCUAAACACGCUUGAUCUUGUCCGAUCUCGGGAGCUGAGCCGGGUCGGGCCUGGUUAGUACUUGAAAGGGAGAGCGGCUGGUAACCAGGUGUUGUAAGCU
rnacentral:rRNA from 1 species